rnacentral:rRNA from 1 species
CAGCCGCCGCGGUAAUACGUAGGUGGCAAGCGUUGUCCGGAAUCAUUGGGCGUAAAGCGCGCGCAGGCGGUCCUUUAAGUCUGAUGUGAAAUCUUGCGGCUUAACCGCAAGCGGUCAUUGGAAACUGGAGGACUUGAGUGCAGAAGAGGAAAGCGGAAUUCCAUGUGUAGCGGUGAAAUGCGUAGAGAUAUGGAGGAACACCAGUGGCGAAGGCGGCUUUCUGGUCUGCAACUGACGCUGAGGCGCGAAAGCGUGGGGAGCAAACAGGAUUAGAUACCCUGGUAGUCCACGCCGUAAACGAUGAGUGCUAGGUGUUGGAGGGUUUCCGCCCUUCAGUGCUGCAGCUAACGCAUUAAGCACUCCGCCUGGGGAGUACGGCCGCAAGGCUGAAACUUAAAGGAAUUGGCGGG